GAUGAACGCUGGCGGCGUGCUUAACACAUGCAAGUCGAACGGAAUCAGAAAGCAGAAAACAGAGAGCAGAAAAAAAGCGGAAAACAGAAAGCGGAAAGCAGAAAACAGAAAAGUCCAGUGCGGUGAAAGGCUGAAUAAGCCGGUGGCCGGGUUUGGGUUUUAUCUGUUCUCUGGAUUCUGAAAUCUGUUCUGUGUUUUCUGAUUUCUGAUUCAGUGGCGGACGGGUGAGUAACACGUGGAUAACCUGCCUUAUGCACAAGGAUAACAGAUGGAAACGACUGAUAAUACUUGAUAAGCCGACGGGGUCGCAUGGUUCUGACGGAAAAGAUUUAUCGGCAUAAGAGGGGUCCGCGGCUGAUUAAUUAGUUGGCGGGGUAACGGCCCACCAAGAUAACGAUCAGUAGCCGUACUGAGAGGUAGAACGGCCACAUUGGGACUGAGACACGGCCCAAACUCCUACGGGAGGCAGCAGUGGGGAAUAUUGCACAAUGGACGCAAGUCUGAUGCAGCAACGCCGCGUGAAGGACGACGGCCCUCGGGUUGUAAACUUCUAUCAAUAGGGAAGAAAGAAAUGACGGUACCGAAGUAAGAAGCACCGGCUAACUACGUGCCAGCAGCCGCGGUAAUACGUAGGGUGCAAGCGUUAUCCGGAAUUACUGGGCGUAAAGGGUGAGUAGGCGGCAACGCAAGUCAUAUGUGGAAUCCCUGUGCUCAACACAGGAAUAGCAUAAGAAACUGCGUGGCUUGAGUACAGGAGAGGCAAGCGGAAUUCCUAGUGUAGCGGUGAAAUGCGUAGAUAUUAGGAAGUACACCAGUGGCGAAGGCGGCUUGCUGGACUGAAACUGACGCUGAGACACGAAAGCGUGGGGAGCAAACAGGAUUAGAUACCCUGGUAGUCCACGCUGUAAACGAUGAGUGCUAGGUGUCGGGGUGAGAAUCCCGGUGCCGGAGCUAACGCAAUAAGCACUCCGCCUGGGGAGUACGUACGCAAGUAUGAAACUCAAAGGAAUUGACGGGGGCCCGCACAAGCGGUGGAGCAUGUGGUUUAAUUCGACGCAACGCGAAAAACCUUACCAAGGCUUGACAUCGUCCUUGAUAGCGUAGAGAUACGCUAGCCCUUCGGGGGAGGAUAGACAGGUGGUGCAUGGUUGUCGUCAGCUCGUGUCGUGAGAUGUUGGGUUAAGUCCCGCAACGAGCGCAACCCUUAUCUUUAGUAGCCAGUGGGUAAAGCCAGGCACUCUAAAGAGACUGCCGUGGAUAACACGGAGGAAGGUGGGGAUGACGUUAAAUCAUCAUGCCCUUUAUGUCUUGGGCUACACACGUGCUACAAUGGCGGAUACAAAGUGAAGCGAGACCGCGAGGUUGAGCAAAGCACAAAAAAUCCGCCCCAGUUCGGAUUGCAGGCUGCAACUCGCCUGCAUGAAGCUGGAAUCGCUAGUAAUCGCGAAUCAGCAUGUCGCGGUGAAUACGUUCCCGGGCCUU
rnacentral:rRNA from 2 species